rnacentral:misc_RNA from 1 species
UUCAUUCAAUUUUGGUAAUCUGUCAUCGGUCUGCGAUCGAUCUUUCGUUCAUUCAAUAAUUUCAACAGCGUUCACGGCGUCGCUAUAAUUUUUGAAUGUUUUGUGCAGAAAACAAAAUAAUAUCAAUUUAAGCGCGAGAACAUUGUAAAAUGGCGCGAACUAAAUCGCCGUCAGCGGCUUCUGAUAAAGACAAAAAGAAACCACGGGAAAAUAAAAAGAAGAAAGGUGAUUCAGGAUCUAGCAGCAGUGAGAGUAGUGGCAGUUCCUCUGAAAGCAGCUCGUCCCGAUCGUCAUCCCGGUCGUCAUCUAGCAGUUCUGGCAGCUCCUCGCGUUCCUCCUCAUCUUCCAGUUCAUCGAGCAGCAGCAGCAGCAACAAUGACCGCUCCAGACCAAAGAAGAAGACAUCGCCUAACAAGAGUCCAGUGAAGGAUCGUCGUGAACCUGACAGAGACAAAGUAAGGGACAGAUCACCACUUGGUGAUAAGAAAAAAAUUGCUGCCCCUUCAGCUAAUGAUAAAGGCAAGAGCAAGGAGAAACAUGAUAGAUCACCUGGCCGCAAGAAGCGUGAGCGCUCGCCACCACCACGCCCCACAAGAAUUCACAUUGGGCGUUUGACUUUAAAUGUGACAAGGGAACACAUUCAGGAAAUUUUCUCAACAUAUGGUGCUGUGAAGACAGUCGAAUUUCCCAUGGACAGACUGCACCCUCAUAAUGGACGAGGAUAUGCUUAUGUUGAAUUCAGUAAUGCAGAUGAAGCAGAGAAUGCUAUGAAGCAUAUGGAUGGAGGUCAGAUUGAUGGUCAAGAAAUUACUGCGGCGCCAGUGCUGAUACCGUCGCGACCUCGCCGGCCAUCUCCGCGUCCGCCACCGCCUAGACACGCGCCGCCACGACGUCACUCUCCGCCUCGGUACCGGCGCCGCAGCCCGCUGCCCCGGCGGCGCUCCCCGCCGCGGCGCCGCCGCUCGCGCUCGCGCUCCCCGCGCGCGGCUCCUCGGCGCCGACGCUCCAGGUCCUCCUCCUCCUCCUCCCGAUAACUCCUCUACACACACAUACAUACCACGUACACACCCUAGUCGCUAUGCAUGCAAUACACCAACACACAAUACUUUGACCCGUCUUGUUUUUGGGAGGCAAAAUUUCUCCAAAUAUUGGUAUACAGCUGUUCCAGAAAUGCCACCUGAGAUCCAAAGAUCCUGUUCCCAAUACCAAAUAGAAAACAUGCUCAACGUCCCAAAAUGUGUGGCUUUAGCAUCUAAUUGUUACGAAUAAUAAUACUGUAAGAAU